rnacentral:rRNA from 1 species
AUUGAACGCUGGCGGCAGGCUUAACACAUGCAAGUCGAGCGAGCGGCGGACUGGUGAGUAAUGUCUUGGAAACUGCCUGAUGGAGGGGUAUAACUACUGGAAACGGUAGCUAAUACCGCAUACCAUCAGCUGUGCCCAGAUGGGAUUAGCUAGUAGGUGGGGUAAUGGCUCACCUAGGCGACGAUCCCUAGCUGGUCUGAGAGGAUGACCGGCCACCCGGGAACGGAGACACGGCCCAGACUCCUACGGGAGGCAGCAGUGGGGAAUAUUGCAAAAUGGUGGCAGGCCGGAUGCAGCCAUGCCGGGUGUGUGAAGAAGGCCUUCGGGUUGUAAAGCACUUUCAGCGAGGAGGCGGUACUCGCAGAAGAAGCAACGGCUAACUCCGUGCCAGCAGCCGCGGUAAUUC